GAUGAACGCUGGCGGCGUGCCUAAUACAUGCAAGUCGAGCGAACGGACGAGAAGCUUGCUUCUCUGAUGUUAGCGGCGGACGGGUGAGUAACACGUGGAUAACCUACCUAUAAGACUGGGAUAACUUCGGGAAACCGGAGCUAAUACCGGAUAAUAUUUUGAACCGCAUGGUUCAAAAGUGAAAGACGGUCUUGCUGUCACUUAUAGAUGGAUCCGCGCUGCAUUAGCUAGUUGGUAAGGUAACGGCUUACCAAGGCAACGAUGCAUAGCCGACCUGAGAGGGUGACCGGCCACACUAGAACUGAGACACGGUCCAGACUCCUACGGGAGGCAGCAGUAGGGAAUCUUCCGCGCUGGGCGAAAGCCUGACGGAGCAACGCCGCGUGGGUGGUGAAGGUCUUCGGAUCGUAAAACUCUGUUAUUAGGGAAGAACAGAUGUGUAAGUAACUGUGCACACCUUGACGGUACCUAAUCAGAAAGCCACGGCUAACUACGUG
rnacentral:rRNA from 1 species